CCUUGUGGUUGCGAGGCUCGGUGACCUCGCUGCCACGACCCAGCUUCUCAACGGAGGGGACGCCUGCUCAGGGAGCAGCUGCAAACGGAGCACGGUUGUCGGCGCCCUCCUGCUUGGGGCAUUCUGGAAGCAUCCUCCGCUCCCGCUGUGGACGCUUGUCCUCUGGCAGGUGGUUCUUCCAGACCUCCGUGUGCCCGUCCCCGUGCUGCCCCUGACUUCCUGUGCGCACGCCUUUCUCGCGUCCUGUGCCAACGCUCUCCCGCACCCGGGCGGGGUCUCAGUCAUCCCGUGGCCCUAGCUCCGUGGUGGCUAUGCUUUCGUUCGUGGCUGCUGCCUGCUGACCUCUCCGUGGGUUUGGGCAUGAAUUCCCAUCUUCUGAAAUCGUGGUCAAGUGCUAUCACAAGAAGUACCGCUCGGCCACCCGCGAUGUGAUUUUCCGCCUGCAGUUUCACACGGGGGCCGUUCAGGGCUACGGACUCAUGUUCGGGAAGGAGGAUCUGGACAACGCGAGCCAAGAUGACCGUUUUCCUGAUAAUGGCAAGAUUGAGUUGCUUUUCUCCGCCACUCCCGAGAAGAUUCAAGGGUGUGAACACUUGCGCAAUGACCACGGCGUGAUCGUGGACUUCAACACCGCAGACCCUCUCAUCCGCUGGGACUCGUACGAGAGCCUGAGUGCCGGUG